rnacentral:rRNA from 1 species
UACGUAGGGGGCAAGCGUUGUCCGGAAUUAUUGGGCGUAAAGAGCGCGUAGGCGGUCCGAUAAGUCGGCUGUGAAAGUCAGGGGCUCAACCCUUGAAAGCCGGCCGAUACUGUCGGACUAGAGUCCGGAAGAGGCGAGUGGAAUUCCUGGUGUAGCGGUGAAAUGCGCAGAUAUCAGGAGGAACACCGAUUGCGAAGGCAGCUCGCUGGGAUGUCACUGACGCUGAGACGCGAAAGCGUGGGGAGCAAACAGG